AGGUGCGAUCAUACCAGCACUAAUGCAUCGGAUCCCAUCAGAACUCCGCGGUUAAUCAUCCUUGGGCGAGAGUAGUACUAGGAUGGGUGACCUCCUGGGAAGUCCUCGUGUUGCACUUC
rfam:Phaseolus vulgaris cultivar G19833 chromosome 10, whole genome shotgun sequence.